UACAGGGGGUGCAAACGUUGCUCGGAAUUAUUGGGCGUAAAGCGCGCGUAGGCGGCUAUCUAAGUCGGAUGUGAAAGCCCCUGGCUUAACCGGGGAAGUGCACCCGAAACUGGGUAGCUAGAGUGCAAAAGAGGGUCGCGGAAUUCCCAGUGUAGAGGUGAAAUUCGUAGAUAUUGGGAGGAACACCGGUGGCGAAGGCGGCGACCUGGGUUGACACUGACGCUGAGGCGCGAAAGCGUGGGGAGCAAACAGG
rnacentral:rRNA from 1 species